AAUAAGUGCAGUUUUGCACUAUUCAUGUUCAACUUUUGACCAUUCGUCUUAUUUGAAUUUUUUUUAUGAUUAGUAUUUUUAUUGUUAUUAGAUGAUAAAAUAUGAAUAGUACUUUAUGUAUGACUAAUUUUUUUCAAUUUUUUCAUAAAUUUUUCAAAUAAAACGAACGAUCAAACAUCGGACACGGUUCCCCACGACUGCACUUAUU
rfam:Oryza glaberrima chromosome 2 Oglab02_0237_22, whole genome shotgun sequence.